CUGACUGCUAUCGGAUUGGUACUAAGCCAUGCGAGUCGUUGUAGCAAUACAAGGCGGACGGCUCAGUAACACGUAGUCAACCUAACCUAUGGACGUGGAUAACCUCGGGAAACUGAGAAUAAACCGCGAUAGAUCAUUAUGCCUGGAAUGGCUUAUGGUUUAAAUAAUUUAUUGCCGUAGGAUGGGACUGCGGCCUAUCAGCUUGUUGGUGAGGUAAUGGCCCACCAAGGCUAUAACAGGUACGGGCUCUGAGAGGAGAAGCCCGGAGAUGGGUACUGAGACACGGACCCAGGCCCUAUGGGGCGCAGCAGGCGAGAAACCUUAGCAAUGUGCGAAAGCACGACUAGGUUAAUCCGAGUGAUUUCUGUUGAAGAAAUCUUUUGUCAGUCGUAAAACCACAGACGAAUAAGGGGUGGGCAAGUCUGGUGUCAGCCGCCGCGGUAAUACCAGCACCUCGAGUGGUCAGGAGGUUUAUUGGGCCUAAAGCAUCCGUAGCCGGCUUUGCAAGUCUCCGGUUAAAUCCAACUGCUCAACAGAUGGGCUGCCGGAGAUACUACACAGCUAGGGAGCGGGAGAGGCAGACGGUAUUCUGUGGGUAGGGGUAAAAUCCUUUGAUCCAUAGAGGACCACCAGUGGCGAAGGCGGUCUGCCAGAACGCGUUCGACGGUGAGGGAUGAAAGCUGGGGGAGCAAACCGGAUUAGAUACCCGGGUAGUCCCAGCUGUAAACGAUGCAAACUCGGUGAUGCAUUGGCUUAUGGCCAAUGCAGUGCCGCAGGGAAGCCGUUAAGUUUGCCGCCUGGGAAGUACGGACGCAAGUCUGAAACUUAAAGGAAUUGGCGGGG
rnacentral:rRNA from 1 species